rnacentral:tRNA from 1 species
GAGUUAAGUUUAACGAGAAAAAGCUUCUAACUUUAAUCUUAAGCAGUGAGAUUCUGUUUUUAACUCU